UGGACAGAUUAUUGUAUUCGACUGUAUUCACGGCGUAAAACAUGGGAUUACACUAUUUUUAAAACGGAAAGUGAAUCAAUUAACAUAAUAGACUCCU
rfam:Nicotiana attenuata strain TT chromosome 6, whole genome shotgun sequence.